GUAAAUAACAAAUUAUCACAAUCGUUGGUUGUGGAAUUGGGCCUUUAUUUCGAACAGACUUAUGGCCUUAAAUUUACGCCAUGUGCUUAAUUCGAACCAAGCGGAGCAAUUAAACAUUCUCUCGUUAUACGGAUUAAUCGCAAGCGUCACGAUCCUUUGGACGACGAAAAGCGCUUUCGCGAGCGCGAAGCCCAAGAUCGUAAAUCGAUUGAC
rnacentral:misc_RNA from 1 species